rnacentral:lncRNA from 1 species
AUGACCAUAUUAUGGCAAAAACAGCUCAUAAGCAAAGAGAAACGACAGUCCAUUACUUUAAAGACAUGUCAGUCAAUACGGAAAAUUAAGAACUUUGAAAGUUUCUUCAAGUGCAGUCGUAAAACCAUCAAGCGCUAUGAUGAAACUGGCUCACGAGGACCGCCACAAGAAAGACCCAGAGCCUUUGGUUUAUGUCCCAGAUUUUUUUUAAUAAAAAAAUUUGGUAUGUUUUUUUAUUCAUUUUUAUCACAUGGACCUCAACCUUUGUAUUCCCUCAAACAAAAGAACAUUACAAAUGUGAUUUUCCGCUGCAGGAACCCCAAAGAGAAACCAGAUACCUGCAUUACCCCCUGGACCAAAACUAACCCUGACAACCUGCACAUCCCUAUUCCCUGUGAAGGGAGGCCUUCAAGAGACUGGAUCACUGAGUCACCUAGGUGAUCACUGAGAGAUGACACCUUUGCCUACAUUUACUACAGAGCCUGUAAAGGCUCCACCCCUCAGUUCAGAAGAUUGGUUCUAUGAUUAUGGAUUAUGAUGCUUAAGUAAAUUAGAGGCACAAAGAUCAUACCUCCCCUGUUAUUGGUAAUGGUGAGGUUAGCAUGUUUUGUUGUAGCCGCUAACUUUCUCACUCAUCAUUCAUGAUCGUUCUUUAUUAUCAGGACUAAUUUAGAAGUGUUCAGAAACAUCUUAUUUGCUCACUUAGAAAUAAUUAUUCCAGUCAUCAUUAACCAGUCAGUUCCUAUAAGGCAAAACAUAAUCUGAAACAACCAAGCUGUAAAUGUAUCCAACAAGUUUGCAGAGUCACAAGGCUGUAGUCACUGUGUGCUAGGAAUAUGGGACCAAAUAAUAAACGUGACAACUUUAAUACAUUAAGUGAAUUAUUUUCCAUUUCUAAAACGGUAAAACAUGAAAAAACCCUCAGAUAAAAGGUGACCGUCUGUACUGUCGCCUCAAACAUUUGAUCUCAAAUAAAAAACGCUGGAGUAUAGAGCUAACUAAAAGUUUGAAGAGACUGAAUGAGGAGAUUAAUGUAUGGAGAAAAUACCUGAAAUAAUAACUAUUUAGAUUAACCACCAAGUGAAGUCAAGCGCUGAUAACAUUGUAGAUGCUUGUUCAUAAACUCUCCCCUUCCUUCAUUCACGCUCCUCCGGUCCCUUUCAGACCCAGCUACUAUCAACCAUGUCAAUUAUGAUGAAUUUGAGAUUCCAGUGAGGUAAUUAACUUAUUGGUAGAUAAUAGACCAUCCCCAGCCAUUGUACAAAACAUUGAGUGUUACCCAGCAUGACGCCCUGACCUCUGUCCUCAGGGACUUGUAGUGAAGACUGGUGGUCCUUCCAGGGUAGUUGCUACCUGGCAUCAAAAAGGAAACUCAGCUGGAACAGUGCAAAGGAAAAUUGUAUCGAGCUGGGAGCACACCUGCUUGUUCUUAACUGUGAGGAUGAGCUGGUAAGACAGUUAGGGUCUGUGGGCUAUGUUAAAUGUGUGCUAGAGGUCCAUAUGAACAACACAAGCUUUGUAAUUAUGCCGACUGCACCCUGAAGUAGAUUUACAUCGGAGGCAAACAGGAAAUUAUGAACAGUAGACCCAUGUUUGCCAUGCGCUGUUAGCUAUGCCAGUGCUGCUUGAUAACAUGACAUUCUCAGGGUACAGAAGAAAGGAUGUAUUUCUUUCAGUGACUGUAUAUAAACAUCACAUUAUGGCAUGGGUUUGUACCAGACUGCUGAACAGAAGAAGCACACAGUGUUUAACAUAAGAUUAGUCAUAGAAUGUUUGAUUAAAGCUUGGUAUGUCAGAAUUUUUUUUUUUUUAAUUCAGGGAAUUGUGGGUGAAUAUGAAUAGCAAGGGAGAUUUGAAACCAACCAAUAACCAGAGGCACAUAUUGGAUCACGACAGUUAUUGAUUUCAAGAGAAGCACAUGCUAGUACAGAACUAACAGAACGCAGGGAGGUAGGCCACUGCGGGGGAAGAGAAGGCCAGGUAAAUGGCAUGGCAAGUUUAAGGGGGAAAUAAGAGUGAUUUCUCCAAUCUACAAGAUGCAGAUGAUGAGAACAUCCUAAAGAGGUUACUGUUGCAGAAUACAAGUUUUGACUGCAUACCUGUCCAGUGGAUUCACAGGUGUGCCCAAGCUGCCCUUCCCACAGUAGCAGCCAGUGUCAGCAUAGUCCAGCACAGGCCAGCUGUCAGGGUUGGCCCAAUCAUGAACUUCCAUAGUGCCCUUGAGAUGGGUUCAUGCACCGCCAGCCCUAAAGAGACACACACGAGGGGCCACAUACAGAGCGUUCAAAUAUCCACAUGACCAUUUUGAGACUGGUCACAUACUAGUAUUGCUUUACUAACUCUAAUGAAUAAGUUAAAUUUAACAGUAUAGCAGCAUGGUUGAAAUGGGAAGGUGACCCACAGUCUCAUUCUAGAAAACUGACCGUUUUGCCCUUGUGGCAUAAUGUAAGUACAUUUUACAUAACCAGCUGAAAUGAGGUACUGUAUAUGUACUGGGUAAAAUACCUUGCAGUGCACAUUGACUCAACUAAAAUAAUAUUUCCUCAGAAGAAACUAUGACAGGACAACUGGACAUGAAUUACAAGAAAACAUACUUUACACUGCUCUGUUACUGAAAAGCAUCAAGUCUGCAUCAAAGCCCUGUCUCAACAUACAGUAUACCUAAUAAUACUCAGACUGGCAGACAGAAGGCUAACAGCAGCAGUGUGAGAAGCCCUUAUUUUGGUGUUGAAGAGACUCAAUGAUCUAGCACACAAAUUAUUUAUAUAGACUCAUGGCCUUAAGGGGCGAGCUUUGGAUGAUUAACAGAGUGUGCCGGAUGCAAAGUACACAAUUGUACACAGGUUACUGCACAAACAGACACUAUCAUAAACACUUACAGACCUGUGUAUAGUGAUAAAGGUGCAUUGAAUCACAUUUUCAAUACUGGAUACGUUUUGUUUUAUUUAACAGGUCUAAGUCUCAUUGUGAUAAAAAUAUAUAUUUUUCAAGCGACAGGAUCAUAUGCAUAGAGACCGACUCAGUAAGUCAUUGUACAAGACUAGACUGGAGUCAUGAAAUGGAAAUGUCCAACCCUGUUCCUGGAGCGCUACCCUCAUGUAGGUUCACUCCAACCCUGUUCCUGGAGAGCUACCAUCCUGUAGGGUCACUCCAACCCUGUUCCUGGAGAGCUACCAUCCUGUAGGGUCACUCCAACCCUGUUCCUGGAGAGCUACCAUCCUGUAGGUUCACUCCAACCCUGUUCCUGGAGAGCUACCAUCCUGUAGGUUCACUCCAACCCUGUUCCUGGAGAGCUACCAUCCUGUAGGUUCACUCCAACCCUGUUCAUGGAGAGCUACCAUCCUGUAGGUUCACUCCAACCCUGUUCCUGGAGAGCUACCAUCCUGUAGGUUCACUCCAACCCUGUUCCUGGAGAGCUACCAUUCUGUAGGUUCACUCCAACCCUAAUCUAGCACACCUGAUUCUAAUAAUUAGCUGAACCAGGUUAAUUAAUCUCCAGGAACAAGGUUGGAAACACCUGCACUAGAGUAUAUUACACUAUACAUCCUUUGUCUUGAUCUGUACCACAUUCUGAUUGUACCCACAUACAUCUACACAUGAUAGUAAAACAUGUCGCUUAUGCAUCCACAUUGUGACCAGAUAUCCUGGUCCCUCCCUGUAUGUAAGUUAUUUGACAGAUAUUAUUUUAAAAGACACAUAUUGAUGCCAUAAGUCAAUGACAUUGCCCGCCAAUGAUUUGAGAGCAGGUGGUGAUGAUUUAAAUGGUUUAAAACUUUCACUGUUCCGAUCAGUCUAUAUUUGUAAGGUUUCAUCUACACCAGUGUGUCCCCAACACCAGUCCUCGAUUAACCCAAUAGCACACAUUUUUGCUGUAGCCCCGGACAAACUCAACGGUUACAAUUUUUUGUAUUUAUUAGCGAUCCCCAUCCUCACUACUCUUCCUGAGGUCCAAACACAUUAAGGCACUUACACAAAACAAGACAUAACAGUACAUCAUAUAAGAAUACACCACUAUAUAGCUACAACACAAAAUGUAUGAUACCACAAUAUUACAAUGUGUGUGUCUGUACCUGUGUGUCCUUUCACAGUCCCCGCUGUUCCAUAAGGUGUACUUUUAUGUUUAAAAUAAACAUAUAUUUUUACUGCUUGCAUCUGUAGCUGCUUGCUCCUGAUGUGGAAUAUAGUUCCACGUAGUUAUGGCUCUAUUUAAUGCUGUGCGCCUCCCACAAUCUGCUCUGGAUUUGGGGAGUGUGAAGAGACCGCUGGUGGCAUGUCUUGUGGGGUUGAUGAUAAAUUGAAUCCGAUGUGCUUGUCCGGGGCUACAUCUAAAAUGUGUACUGUUGGGCUACUCGAGGACUGGAGUUAGAAAACACUGGUCUACACAGGCACUAAUUGUUAUUUUGACCAAUCGGCACGGAAAAAGUUUUGAUGUGAUUGGUCAAAAUACCAAUUAGUGGAAAAAUAUCAGAAUUGGACUGUGUGUAAAUGCAGCCUACGCUAUUCAGACACAAUGCAUAUCUGACUACCUCCAGAGGUGGGCAGGAAGAUCUGAUCACAAUGCGUCUUCUAAUCAUCUACACCUGUCUAAAAAUAUGGGCACAAUCGGAAUGUGGACGUGAUCAGGACAAAGGACUGAUGUAGGAACCAGGUAUAAAUGGAGCUAUUGAUAGCAGCAAUCCUUGGUAAACCAGUUUAGCACCUGAGGAAAGUAUUUGAACCCUGAGAUG